rnacentral:rRNA from 1 species
GACGAACGCUGGCGGCGUGCUUAACACAUGCAAGUCGAACGGAAAGGCCCUGCUUUUGUGGGGUGCUCGAGUGGCGAACGGGUGAGUAACACGUGAGUAACCUGCCCUUGACUUUGGGAUAACUUCAGGAAACUGGGGCUAAUACCGGAUAGGAGCUCCUGCUGCAUGGUGGGGGUUGGAAAGUUUCGGCGGUUGGGGAUGGACUCGCGGCUUAUCAGCUUGUUGGUGGGGUAGUGGCUUACCAAGGCUUUGACGGGUAGCCGGCCUGAGAGGGUGACCGGCCACAUUGGGACUGAGAUACGGCCCAGACUCCUACGGGAGGCAGCAGUGGGGAAUAUUGCACAAUGGGCGGAAGCCUGGUGCAGCAGCGCCGCGUGCGGGAUGACGGCCUUCGGGUUGUAAACCGCUUUCGCCUGUGACGAAGCGUGAGUGACGGUAAUGGGUAAAGAAGCACCGGCUAACUACGUG